AGUGAACGCUGGCGGUAGGCCUAACACAUGCAAGUCGAACGGCAGCACAGUAAGAGCUUGCUCUUACGGGUGGCGAGUGGCGGACGGGUGAGGAAUACAUCGGAAUCUACUUUUUCGUGGGGGAUAACGUAGGGAAACUUACGCUAAUACCGCAUACGACCUACGGGUGAAAGCAGGGGAUCUUCGGACCUUGCGCGAUUGAAUGAGCCGAUGUCGGAUUAGCUAGUUGGCGGGGUAAAGGCCCACCAAGGCGACGAUCCGUAGCUGGUCUGAGAGGAUGAUCAGCCACACUGGAACUGAGACACGGUCCAGACUCCUACGGGAGGCAGCAGUAGGGAAUAUUGGACAAUGGGCGAAAGCCUGAUCCAGCAAUGCCGCGUGAGUGAUGAAGGCCUUAGGGUUGUAAAGCUCUUUUACCCGGGAUGAUAAUGACAGUACCGGGAGAAUAAGCUCCGGCUAACUCCGUG
rnacentral:rRNA from 1 species